UCCGUAGGUGAACCUGCGGAAGGAUCAUUACCGAGUUGAUUCGGGCUCCGGCCCGAUCCUCCCACCCUUUGUGUACCUACCUCUGUUGCUUUGGCGGGCCGCGGUUCUCCGCGGCCGCCCCCCUCCCCGGGGGGUGGCCAGCGCCCGCCAGAGGACCAUCAAACUCCAGUCAGUAAACGAUGCAGUCUGAAAAACAUUUAAUAAACUAAAACUUUCAACAACGGAUCUCUUGGUUCUGGCAUCGAUGAAGAACGCAGCGAAAUGCGAUAAGUAAUGUGAAUUGCAGAAUUCAGUGAAUCAUCGAAUCUUUGAACGCACAUUGCGCCCUUUGGUAUUCCGAAGGGCAUGCCUGUUCGAGCGUCAUUACAACCCUCAAGCUCUGCUUGGUAUUGGGCACCGUCCUUUGCGGGCGCGCCUCAAAGACCUCGGCGGUGGCGUCUUGCCUCAAGCGUAGUAGAGCAUACAUCUCGCUUCGGAGCGCAGGGCGUCGCCCGCCGGACGAACCUUCUGAACUUUUCUCAAGGUUGACCUCGGAUCAGGUAGGGAUACCCGCUGAACUUAAGCAUAUCAAUAAGCGGAGGA
rnacentral:rRNA from 1 species